UGGCACUGCUCGUCAAACCACGCUGAGGCGGCGUCCCACAUGCCACAACUAGAAGGACUCACAACUAAAAAUAUACAACUAUGUACCGGGGGGCUUUGGGGAGAAAAAGGAAAAAAAUAAAAUCUUUAAAUGGUAUCUCUAGAAGAUCUCCUCUGCCUCAGUGAGAAUAACUCUCUUACUUGAGGGGCAAUGGACAAGUCUGCUUGGACCAUAGUCAGCUGCCUGAUAUUUUAUUUGUGCUCCCAAGAGGCUGUGCCAUAGCCAGGAUCGAUAGAUGUGUACAGAAUAGAUGUGUGGCUUUGGGAUUGAUGAAUUUGGGAACUUAGCUAUAACACUAAUUUAUGCCAGAUACAGACUCUAGGGAAUUUUAAAAAUGCAGUGCCCAGAGGGAAGCACAAAGGAGAAUUUGCCUCUAUGCUUCCUGGUUCCUGGCAGCGGUCCUCCUCAUGGAGUCAUGGAGGAGCUGUUCCAGGAUCGUUGGCAGGGCAGAGGCAGGCCUUGGUCAAGCUAAUUUACUCCCAUGUGAGUGAGUCCAGUGUGCUUGUCGUGAAUGACAGCUGGGCCCUGAUGGAUGUCAAGUGGUUGCAAGAGCUCCAAGGCAGGAACCUUCUUCUAGGCAAAAGCAACCUAAGACGUUGUCCACAGAUGCCUACAGGAGAAAAUCCAAAUUCCUUAACAUGGGUACAUACCUCCUUCACAAGUUUGCACUGUAUCCUGCUUCAGCAUCAUUUUUUUUGCCAAACCCGACUUGCACUCCCAUUCUCCAGCCACACCAAGCUAUUUGCCAAAUGGGCCCAGUGUUUAUAAACCUCAGCCUGGAAUGUCCUUCCAUGCCCUGGUUAACGCUUACUCAUGUUACACGACCCAACUGAAGCUCUUCUUGGCCCUCCACACCUUUUUGUGGAGUGCUGUGUCUCCUGCUUUGUGGCCCUCUGUACCUGUAAAUACUUCCAUAGUUGUACCAAUAACGUCUCUUUUUCUCUGGCUGUUUACAUAUCUGACAGUCCUUCUGUCUAUAAGUUCUUUUGAGGCAAGGCCGGUUUUUUUCCAGCUUUGUAUGUCCACUGCAGAUGCUCAAUUAAUGUUUUCUUAAAAUUAAUAAAUUAAAAAGUUGAAUGACUGGUUAAUUAGUUGUUCCCAAUUCUCAACUUUCUCAUAUUAAUGGAAGCUUUUUAGGGCUUUAUUUUUGUUUGUUUGUAAGU
rnacentral:lncRNA from 1 species